rnacentral:rRNA from 1 species
UACGUAGGGGGCAAGCGUUGUCCGGAUUUAUUGGGCGUAAAGAGCGUGUAGGCGGCCAGGGAGGUCCGUUGUGAAAACUCGAGGCUCAACCUCGAGACGCCGAUGGAAACCCCCUGGCUAGAGUCCGGAAGAGGAGAAUGGAAUUCCUGGUGUAGCGGUGAAAUGCGCAGAUAUCGGAAGGAACACCAGUGGCGAAAGCGGCUUCCUGGUACAGCACCGACGUUCAGGCACGAAAGCGUGGGGAGCAAACAGG